rnacentral:rRNA from 1 species
UACGACCGUACCAUGCUGAAUAUACCGGUUCUCGUUAGAUCACCGAAGUUAAGCAUCAUUGGGCGCGGUCAGUACUUGGGUGGGUGACCUGGGAACACUGUGCCGUUG